rnacentral:rRNA from 1 species
UGGGGAAUUUUGGACAAUGGGCGAAAGCCUGAUCCAGCAAUGCCGCGUGUGUGAAGAAGGCCUUCGGGUUGUAAAGCACUUUUGUCCGGAAAGAAAUCGCACUUACUAAUACUAGGUGUGGAUGACGGUACCGGAAGAAUAAGGACCGGCUAACUACGUG